rnacentral:rRNA from 1 species
CCUACGGGGGACAGCAGUGGGGAAUAUUGCACAAUGGGCGAAAGCCUGAUGCAGCAACGCCGCGUGAGCGAUGAAGGCCUUCGGGUCGUAAAGCCCUGUCCUCAAGGAAGAUAAUGACGGUACUUGACGAGGCAGCCCCGGCUAACUACGUGCCAGCAGCCGCGGUAAUACGUAGGGGGCUAGCGUUAUCCGGAAUUACUGGGCGAAAAGGGUGCGUAGGUGGGUUAUUAAGUCAGAGGUGAAAGGCUACGGCUCAACCGUAGUAAGCCUUUGAAACUGGGGAACUUGAGUGCAGGAGAGGAAGGUGGAAUUCGUGGUGUAGCGGUGAAAUGCGUAGAUAUCAGGAGGAACACCGGUUGCGAAGGCGGCUCUCUGGACUGUAACUGACGCUGAGGCACGAAAGCGUGGGGAGCAAACAGGAUUAGAUACCCUAGUAGUC